rnacentral:rRNA from 1 species
UACGGGGGGGGCAAGCGUUGUUCGGAAUUACUGGGCGUAAAGGGCUCGUAGGCGGCCAACUAAGUCGGAUGUGAAAUCCCCAGGCUUAACCUGGGAACUGCAUCCGAUACUGGUUGGCUUGAAUCCGGGAGAGGGAUGCAGAAUUCCAGGUGUAGCGGUGAAAUGCGUAGAUAUCUGGAGGAACACCGGUGGCGAAGGCGGGUCUCUGGGCCGAUACUGACGCUGAGGAGCGAAAGCGUGGGGAGCGAACAGG